rnacentral:rRNA from 1 species
GACGAACGCUGGCGGCGUGCUUAACACAUGCAAGUCGAACGGAAAGGCCCUGCUUUUGUGGGGUGCUCGAGUGGCGAACGGGUGAGUAACACGUGAGUAACCUGCCCUUGACUUUGGGAUAACUUCAGGAAACUGGGGCUAAUACCGGAUAGGAGCUCCUGCUGCAUGGUGGGGGUUGGAAAGUUUCGGCGGUUGGGGAUGGACUCGCGGCUUAUCAGCUUGUUGGUGGGGUAGUGGCUUACCAAGGCUUUGACGGGUAGCCGGCCUGAGAGGGUGACCGGCCACAUUGGGACUGAGAUACGGCCCAGACUCCUACGGGAGGCAGCAGUGGGGAAUAUUGCACAAUGGGCGGAAGCCCGAUGCAGCAACGCCGCGUGCGGGAUGACGGCCUUCGGGUUGUAAACCGCUUUCGCCUGUGACGAAGCGUGAGUGACGGUAAUGGGUAAAGAAGCACCGGCUAACUACGUGCCAGCAGCCGCGGUGAUACGUAGGGUGCGAGCGUUGUCCGGAUUUAUUGGGCGUAAAGGGCUCGUAGGUGGUUGAUCGCGUCGGAAGUGUAAUCUUGGGGCUUAACCCUGAGCGUGCUUUCGAUACGGGUUGACUUGAGGAAGGUAGGGGAGAAUGGAAUUCCUGGUGGAGCGGUGGAAUGCGCAGAUAUCAGGAGGAACACCAGUGGCGAAGGCGGUUCUCUGGGCCUUUCCUGACGCUGAGGAGCGAAAGCGUGGGGAGCGAACAGGCUUAGAUACCCUGGUAGUCCACGCUGUAAACGGUGGGUACUAGGUGUGGGGUCCAUUCCACGGGUUCCGUGCCGUAGCUAACGCUUUAAGUACCCCGCCUGGGGAGUACGGCCGCAAGGCUAAAACUCAAAGGAAUUGACGGGGCCCCGCACAAGCGGCGGAGCAUGCGGAUUAAUUCGAUGCAACGCGUAGAACCUUACCUGGGUUUGACAUGGAUCGGGAGUGCUCAGAGAUGGGUGUGCCUCUUUUGGGGUCGGUUCACAGGUGGUGCAUGGCUGUCGUCAGCUCGUGUCGUGAGAUGUUGGGUUAAGUCCCGCAACGAGCGCAACCCUUGUUCACUGUUGCCAGCACGUUAUGGUGGGGACUCAGUGGAGACCGCCGGGGUCAACUCGGAGGAAGGUGGGGAUGACGUCAAGUCAUCAUGCCCCUUAUGUCCAGGGCUUCACGCAUGCUACAAUGGCUGGUACAGAGAGUGGCGAGCCUGUGAGGGUGAGCGAAUCUCGGAAAGCCGGUCUCAGUUCGGAUUGGGGUCUGCAACUCGACCUCAUGAAGUCGGAGUCGCUAGUAAUCGCAGAUCAGCAACGCUGCGGUGAAUACGUUCCCGGG